AGAGUUUGAUCCUGGCUCAGAUUGAACGCUGGCGGCAUGCCUUACACAUGCAAGUCGAACGCGAAAGGGGGCAACCCUGAGUAGAGUGGCGAACGGGUGAGCAAUACAUCGGAACGUGUCCUGUAGCGGGGGACAACCUCGAGAAAUCGAGGCUAAUACCGCAUACGAUCUACGGAUGAAAGUGGGGGACCGCAAGGCCCCACACUAUAGGAGCGGCCGAUGCCGGAUUAGCUAGUUGGUGGGGUAAAAGCCUACCAAGGCGACGAUCCGUAGCUGGUUUGAGAGAACGACCAGCCACACUGGGACUGAGACACGGCCCAGACUCCUACGGGAGGCAGCAGUGGGGAAUUUUGGACAAUGGGCGCAAGCCUGAUCCAGCCAUGCCGCGUGAGUGAAGAAGGCCUUCGGGUUGUAAAGCUCUUUCGGCCGGGACGAAAUGGCGCGGGGUAACAUCCCGCGUCGAUGACGGUACCGGAAGAAGAAGGACCGGCUAACUACGUGCCAGCAGCCGCGGUAAUACGUAGGGUCCAAGCGUUAAUCGGAAUUACUGGGCGUAAAGCGUGUGCAGGCGGUUUCGAAAGUCCGAUGUGAAAUCCCCGGGCUUAACCUGGGAACUGCGUUGGAAACUACGAGGCUAGAGUGCGGCAGAGGGGGGUGGAAUUCCAGGUGUAGCAGUGAAAUGCGUAGAGAUCUGGAGGAACACCGAUGGCGAAGGCAGCCCCCUGGGUUAGCACUGACGCUCAUACACGAAAGCGUGGGGAGCAAACAGGAUUAGAUACCCCGGUAGUCC
rnacentral:rRNA from 1 species